rnacentral:lncRNA from 1 species
GUCCGACCUGUCUUGUCCUCCUGCCUGAGCGCCUCGGUGGUGUUCAGUGUUUGGGAUGAAUUUCCACUAGCCAUUUGCUUGCAAAUUGAAUGAAAGACACCUUCUGGCCUGUGAAUUUCAGCUCAAGACAGAGUGAUGAAGUACCCACUCCCACUCCACUCAAGCUGCGGGCCCCGCGUCUGCCUUGGACCAGAGCAGGCUGCAGGCCUGGGGCAGAUACAGUGCCAACCUGAUCUGAAGGCUCUGGGCUCCAUGGCCACCAGCACCCACCUUGUCCACGGUCCUGCACCCGGGCCUGGAAAGCCACAACUAGCAGGACCUGUUUCCUGAAGCCCCCCUCGCGCUGCGCUCCCUGCGGGAACCUGGGAGCACUGGCUGGAACGGUGGCCUUCCAAAGCCUCACAGAAGAGGCAGCAACCCCAAACGACCUUGUGAGAACGCUUUCCUGUUUUCUUAAAUACUUCUUGAGAGGGAAGCAGAAGCAGGAAUUUUAAAACACACGUAUUUUCAGAAGAGAAAAGGAUGGAAACAUUAGGCGUUUCAAGUAGUAACAUGCAAAUCACUUUAAAAAUGUCACAGAAAACUAUCCUUUUCAUGCUAAAUAUGAAGUAUUUGGGGAGACACAGCCAGGCUCCUUCCACAAACUUCCUUCUGAGUCACAGCACCCAGAAGACACGUCACGUGACUUCUUUCUCUUCAGCCAAAUGAGAAAAGAGUUUAAAUGAAUGAGUAUUAAGAGCAGUUUAGUUAUUGAAAUGUUCCUUUUCCUUUUCCCAUAGGAAAAAAUAACUGCAACAGGAUUAAUGCUCUUUGGAAACUAAAUGCUAGUCCCAAGAAGGCUGCUUGGGCUGCUGUACCAUGAACACAUGUCUUCUUAAGGUUAAGGGAAACCAUUUUUUGUUGUUGUUUUUUUACUUUUGACUGCUUUUUAUUUAAGAGUCAGCAACAUGCUUACAAUAUCGCCUACUUCCAGAGCAUUUUGGUUAGAUGGGUAUUUAUAAAGGUCCAUUAUGAUCACUGUCUUCAAACUCAUCACACCUUGUGGGGAACAGCCCACUCUGAUCCGGAUUCUCCAGCCCUUCUCCAGCCCGGGGCGCAGGGAAACCUGAGCUGAGGCCGCAAACCCUUCUCCUUUCCCUAAGAAAGAAAAUUUAAAGUCGGACAGCAAAAGCCAAGUAGGGGAACUUUAUUAUGAGUGAUAUGGCAAGGAAGUGAGG